AUCGCUUCUCGGCCUUAUGGCUAAGAUCAAAGUGUAGUAUCUGUUCUUAUCAGCUUAAUAUCUGGUACGCUGCCCAUAGGGCGGUCAGAAUAUUAAUCUGUUUUUUGUAAAUUGACGGAGUGUUGGGGCUUGCUCCACCUCUGUCGCGAGUCGGCUCGGCAUUGCAGUACCGCUGAGAUUGGCUCUAAUUAA